rnacentral:rRNA from 1 species
AAAACAUCGCCUCUUGUCUAAACCAUAAGAGGUCCAGCCUGCCCAGUGAUACUAUUCAACGGCCGCGGUAUUUUAACCGUGCAAAGGUAGCGCAAUCACUUGUCCUUUAAAUGCGGACUAGUAUGAACGGCACCACGAAAGUUAAACUGUCUCCUUUUUCUAAUCAGUGAAACUAAUCUCCCCGUGAAAAAGCAGGGAUAAAUAUAUAAGACGAGAAGACCCUAUGGAGCUUUAAAUAUUAACAACAAUUGCCACAACACCUAUGAUUGUUAAUUUUAGGUUGGGGCGACCACGGAGUAAAACCCAGCCUCCAUGCCAAAUAUAGCAAAAAUCUACAACUUUAAGCAUCAUUAAAUUGACACUUAUUGACCCAAUAUUUUGAUCAACGAACCAAGUUACCCUAGGGAUAACAGCGCCAUCCACUUCAAGAGCCCAUAUCGACAAGUGGGCUUACGACCUCGAUGUUGGAUCAAGGUACCCCAGUGGCGCAGCCGCUACUAAAGGUUCGUUUGUUCAACGAUUAA